rnacentral:rRNA from 1 species
UACAGAGGGUGCGAGCGUUAAUCGGAAUUACUGGGCGUAAAGCGCACGUAGGUGGCGACGUAAGUCGGGUGUGAAAGCCCCGGGCUCAACCUGGGAAUUGCAUUCGAGACUGCGUAGCUAGGGUGCGGAAGAGGGAAGCGGAAUUUCCGGUGUAGCGGUGAAAUGCGUAGAUAUCGGAAGGAACACCAGUGGCGAAAGCGGCUUCCUGGUCCAGCACCGACGUUCAGGCACGAAAGCGUGGGGAGCAAACAGG